UACAAAGGUCUCGAGCGUUGUUCGGAUUCAUUGGGCGUAAAGGGUGCGUAGGUGGCUAGGUAAGUCGGAUGUGAAAUCCCGGGGCUCAACCCCGGAACUGCAUUCGAUACUGCCUGGCUAGAGUACUGGAGAGGAGAUUGGAAUUUACGGUGUAGCAGUGAAAUGCGUAGAUAUCGUAAGGAAGACCAGUGGCGAAGGCGGAUCUCUGGACAGUUACUGACACUGAGGCACGAAGGCCAGGGGAGCAAACGGG
rnacentral:rRNA from 1 species